rnacentral:rRNA from 1 species
AUUGAACGCUGGCGGCAGGCCUAACACAUGCAAGUCGAACGGUAACAGGAAGCAGCUUGCUGCUUCGCUGACGAGUGGCGGACGGGUGAGUAAUGUCUGGGACACUGCCUGAUGGAGGGGAUAACUACUGGAAACGGUAGCUAAUACCGCAUAACGUCGCAAGACCAAAGAGGGGGACCUUAGGGCCUCUUGUCAUCGGAUGUGCCCAGAUGGGAUUAGCUAGUAGGCGGGGUAACGGCUCACCUAGGCGACGAUCCCUAGCUGGUCUGAGAGGAUGACCAGCCACACUGGAACUGAGACACGGUCCAGACUCCUACGGGAGGCAGCAGUGGGGAAUAUUGCACAAUGGGCGCAAGCCUGAUGCAGCCAUGCCGCGUGUAUGAAGAAGGCCUUCGGGUUGUAAAGUACUUUCAGCGGGGAGGAAGGGAGUAAAGUUAAUACCUUGGCUCAUUGACGUUACCCGCAGAAGAAGCACCGGCUAACUCCGUG